UACGGGGGGAGCAAGCGUUGUUCGGAUUUACUGGGCGUAAAGGGCUCGUAGGCGGCCAACUAAGUCAGACGUGAAAUCCCUCGGCUUAACCGGGGAACUGCGUCUGAUACUGGAUGGCUUGGAUUUGGGAGAGGGAUGCGGAAUUCCAGGUGUAGCGGUGAAAUGCGUAGAUAUCUGGAGGAACACCGGUGGCGAAGGCGGCAUCCUGGACCAAUAUUGACGCUGAGGAGCGAAAGCUAGGGGAGCAAACGGG
rnacentral:rRNA from 1 species